AUGGAUAAUGCCGGCGAAUUGCCCACGGAAAAAGGUGGAGAGACCGGGGAAUCAGAGGAGACGACGGCGGCUCCUGGAGGCCCCAGGGUUACGGAUACGGACGGAAUCCCGGAGGAAACCGACGGUGACGGAGACGGGGAAUUCAAAGAGGCCGCCGCUGAAGAAGGUGAGUUCAAGAGUCAGGAUAUUGCAGAUUUAACAGCAGUUGGAAGGGAAGACUCAUUACUUACUCCUGCAGCCAAAAAACUGAAAAUAGAUACCAAAGAGAAGAAAGAGAAGAAGCAGAAAGUGGAUGAAGAUGAGAUUUAAAAGAUGCAAAUCCUGGUUUCUUCUUUUUCUGAGGAGCAGCUGAACCAUUAUGAAAUGUAUCGCCGGUCAGCUUUCCCUAAGUCAGCCAUUAAGAGGCUGAUCCAGUCCAUCACAGGCACCUCUGUGUCUCAGAAUGUUGUUAUUGCUAUGUCUGGUAUUUCCAAAGUUUUCAUCGGGGAGGUGGUAGAAGAAGCACUGGAUGUGUGCGAGAAGUGGGGAGAAAUGCCACCCCUGCAACCCAGACACAUGAGGGAGGCUGUUCGGAGGUUAAAGUCGAAGGGGCAAAUUCCCAACUCAAAGCACAAAAAAAUCAUCUUCUUCUAGACCAGAGUCUAGAAGGGCCUGGUACUGAAGAACGAAGCCCUGCUUCCGGACCUCCUAUUGCAUGAGACUCUCUGCACUGGUGCUUUGGUAUCUCAGUCCUCUAAGGAUUCCAUGAUGAUUUCAAUGUCUUUCUCAAAACUGAUAAUUCAUUACACCUAGAAGGUAGCAUGCACCCUGUUUCGUACUUGCUUUGACUAAAUAUUGGGACCUCUGAGGGCAUCUGAGGCAUUUAACUAUUACUGGCUAGUUGGAAGAAGAAAGGUUGGUGUCCCUUAAGCAUCUCCUGAACAGGAAUGCUGCUUUCAGAAAGAAAACCUGUUCAAGAUGGUUUGAUGGUUUCACAUUGAAGCCUGAAGUUGCUGUGACUUGGGUUGUUUCUUUACAUCUGGUUUUAAGUAAAUGAAACAGUCAGAAGCUUGGCCUGUGAUACUCUACCAGGAAGGACACAGUGACAGCAGCAGCAGUGGAACAGUGUCCCUGUAAAUGUUUAAGAUUCUUCUAUGGAUUCUGGUGAAUGAUUAAUAAAGCUGUUUUCCAACUUGCAAAAAAAAAAAAAAAAAAA